CUGCCUCUGACAGGCAGCUGCAAGGCCCGUGGGAGGCAGGAGGCCAGGGAGCCCUUGCAUGGAGCCAGAGGUACCAGGCUCACUGAGCAGGCAUCAAGUGAGGGGGGGGGGGUCGAAGGAGGCCUCUGAGCCUGUGCGGGCUCCACCUGGUCAGCACUUCGCGGACCUGGGGAGCUGGGAAAGCUGCACUGUGGCAGCCCAAGCCAGAGGCGGAGGCUGCUUUAGGUCUCAGGCUGUGGAGGAGGAAAACAGGGCCUUGGAAGACUGAGCCUGCACACAGAGGCCACAUGCUUUGGGAGCAGCACACAGAACCAGUAACAUUCAGACCUGCCUAGCUCAGGAGCCGUUCCUGGUGGCCCGGAGCAAGCUGCAAGAGAACACGGCAAGACACAGGUUGAGGGAACAGUCACCGGGGAUGCAGCCCUCCAUGACUCCUGUGUGGGGGAUUAACGGAUGCUGUCACCACAGUGCACUCUAUUCCUUGCCUGGUUUUUAAAUGAGCGCUCCAUUUUCUCUAAUUCUGCUUCCACUUCACCGAUUCGCCGCCUAAAAAUAAUACUUAGCAGUUAGAAUCAAAUAAAUUCUGAAACAAUCUGA